rnacentral:lncRNA from 1 species
ACAUACUAUGCUUCAUUUCCACUUGAGCAGCAUGGAGCAGGGGGAAGAGGGUUAGACAUGGAAUUUGAAAAACCAAAGUUUAAAUCCCACCUCAGAUGAUUGCAAGCUGUGCAACUGGGAUUUGUGUGAGGAACGUGGGGAAAAGAGAACUGAGAAAUGAAAAUAAAACAAAACUGAAUUUUUUCAAAAAUACUGAAUAUUAUGAAGUCAGAGAAACAAGGAAGAAUUGUAGGAAUGGAUGGAGAGCAAUGGACAAGACUUCUAUUAAAACAAUCCCCAAAAUAUCUUUUGGAAGAGGAUUUUUUCAGCCUGCUGAAGUUGCCCAGGUCCUACAGGCUUCCUUGAACUACUUUUGAUAAUAGCUUUGAUAAAGCUUUGAAUGAAAAAGUGAAUUUCAUCUUUUCCCAAUCUUUAGUAUUCCACUAUAUAUAUAUAUUGCUUUUUUCCAUGAUAAACAUUUUAUCUUUCUAGUGAUAAUUAAAAGCUGUUGGAGGGGUUUUUUGUUUGUUUCUUUGUUUGGUUUGGGUUUUUUGGUCUUUUAACUAUUCUUCUAACUUCAAGAAGCCUAUGCCAUAUUGUAGAGCUAUCAAGAACAAUCUUUCCUUGAGGGAAGUUAAGUGGCUCAGUGGAUUGAAAGCCAUGCUCAGAGAUGAGAGGUCCUGUAUUAAAAUCUGACCUCAGACACUUCCUAGCUGUGUGACUCUGGGCAAGCCACUUAACCCCAUUGCCUAGCCCUUACCAUUCUUCUUCCUUGGAACCAAUAACAGUAUUGAUUCUAAGAUGGAAGGUAAGGGUUUAAAAAAAAAAAAAGAACAACCUUUCCAGCUACUGAGUCCCUCUGAAGAUCUUUGUUUAUUUUCUAAAGAUUAAUGAGGCUGGUUUAUAGCACUAACUUGUCAAUUCUUAAUGUUUGUUUGUAGUUUUGUUUUGUUUUGUUUUCAUUUUCAACCCUACUUUCUUUUGCUUUCUAUGUAAUUGAUCCUAUUUUAUUGCCCAUUAGAAUGACACUUGAAAUGGUAUUGUUGAGAAAAAACAGUAACAAAGUUUAUUUGGAAGAACAAAAGAUCAAGAAUAUCAAGGGAAAUAAUAAAAAAAAGUGAAGGAAGGCA